rnacentral:rRNA from 1 species
GUGAGGAAUUUUCCGCAAUGGGCGAAAGCCUGACGGAGCAAUGCCGCGUGAAGGAUGAAGGCCUAUGGGUUGUAAACUUCUUUUCUCAGAAAAGAAUUAUGACGGUAUCUGAGGAAUAAGCAUCGGCUAACUCUGUGCCAGCAGCCGCGGUAAGACAGAGGAUGCAAGCGUUAUCCGGAAUGAUUGGGCGUAAAGCGUCUGUAGGUUGGUUAAAAAGUAUUCUGUCAAAGAUUAGGGCUUAACCCUAGAUAGGCAGAAUAAACUUUUAAGCUAGAGUUUGGUAGAGGCAGAGAGAAUUCCCGGUGGAGCGGUGAAAUGCGUAGAUAUCGGGAGGAACACCAAAGGCGAAGGCACUCUGCUGGGCCAAUACUAACACUGAGAGACGAAAGCGAGGGGAGCAAAUGGGAUUAGAAACCCUUGUAGUCC